rnacentral:rRNA from 1 species
UACGUAGGGUGCGAGCGUUGUCCAGAAUUAUUGGGCGUAAAGGGCUCGUAGGCGGUUUGUCGCGUCGGGAGUGAAAACCUCGGGCUUAACUCGGGGCUUGCUUUCGAUACGGGCAGACUGGAGGUAUGCAGGGGAGAACGGAAUUCCUGGUGUAGCGGUGAAAUGCGCAGAUAUCAGGAGGAACACCGGUGGCGAAGGCGGGUCUCUGGGCCGAUACUGACGUGAGGAGCGAAAGCGUGGGGAGCGAACAGG